AGCAGCCGCGGUAAUUCCAGCUCCAAUAGCGUAUAUUAAAGUUGUUGCAGUUAAAAAGCUCGUAGUUGAAUUUCGGAAUCAAUAUAUCGGUCGUGCCUUGGUACGUACUGGUAUCAUUGAUUUCUCCCUUCUGACGAACCAUGAUGUCAUUAAUUUGGUGUUAUGGGGAGUUAGGACUGUUACUUUGAAAAAAUUGAGUGUUUAAAGCAAGCAUUAGCUUGAAUACAUUAGCAUGGAAUAAUGAAAUAGGACGUUUGACCCUAUUUUGUUGGUUUCUAGGAUCGACGUAAUGAUUAAUAGGGAUAGUUGGGGGCAUUAGUAUUCAAUCGUCAGAGGUGAAAUUCUUGGAUUUAUUGAAGACUAACUACUGCGAAAGCAUUUGCCAAGGAUGUUUCAUUAAUCAAGAACGAAAGUUAGGGAUCGAAGACGAUCAGAUACCGUCGUAGUCUUAACCAUAAACUAUAGACCGACUAGGGAUCGGAUGAUGUUAAUUUAUAAUG
rnacentral:rRNA from 1 species